rnacentral:rRNA from 1 species
AUUGAACGCUGGCGGCAGGCCUAACACAUGCAAGUCGAGCGGAGCGGCGGUCGGGUGAGUAAUGCCUAGAUAUCUGCCUGUUAGUGGGGGAUAACGUCCGGAAACGGGCGCUAAUACCGCAUACUCUCAGUUGAGCCUCGGUCGGAUUAGCUAGUUGGUGGGGUAAAGGCCUACAAAGGCGACGAUCCGGAACUGGUCUGAGAGGAUGAUCAGCCACACUGGAACGGAGACACGGUCCAGACUCCUACGGGAGGCAGCAGUGGGGAAUAUUGGACAAUGGGCGAAAGCCUGAUCCAGCCAUGCCGCGUGUGUGAAGAAGGUCUUCGGAUUGUAAAGCACUUUAAGUUGGGAGGCGUUACCAACAGAAUAAGCACCGGCUAACUACGUGCCAGCAGCCGCGGUAAUAC